UGCAUUUUUUCCUUUCCUUUUCGCUUGACGGCGAUCGUAGGUGCGAAUCGGUGCAUCUGGGCGUGGCGAAUUGCCGCACGCGAACCUCGAACGACGAUCGAGGGCUUCUAAGAAGAAGUAUUGCCGAAAUAUGCGUAAACAAUACCGAAGGGAAACGAACCAGAGGUAUGAGAACGAGACGAGAAGGUAACCAGCAGAUUCGAUCUCUUCCAACUGGAGGUAUACGUUUUCUCGUCCUCUUUCAGAGAUUUCACGUUGCAUUGCCGAGAAGAAGAAGAGGACGGAGAGGAAGGAGUCGAGCGGCGCCCGAUCGAUCGAUUCGCGUCUACAGCCACGAAGCCACCACGAAGAACGAAGCCGAAGGCGGCUUUCGUUCCGGACCGACUGGUUCUGUUUCUCUCUCGGCGUCGAUCGGCCACAUUAAUCAUAUUGCGAACGACGCCGCGCCUCUCUUUAUUUAUUCACCCUCUCUCUUUCGCUGGCUCUCUUCCUCCGCCUCGAUAUCUUCCUCUCCGCACAACUCGGCCCGCUCGAUAUUCGUUGCAUGACUGCUGCUCACUGAUCCUGACUCGCUAACAGACUCCAGUCACCCUUAUCUUCCUUCUUCCACCGUGUGAAAUGGCCGACAGAGAGAGCGCCUAUCGAGCUAUUUAAUCCGACCUUGCAACGGCAUCUCUUAACCUUCUUCUUUUUUCCCUUUCCUCCCAUCCGACACGACUUUCAUCUACCAUUCGUUCCUACCAAUCUACCAGUCCGUCUCCGUUCUUUUUUUCCGAGUCAUAACGCUUAAAAUCUCGAUCGCGACUCUCGAUCCGACCGCGCGACCGUCCGUCGAUACGAAAACAAAAAUACGCUCGCGUCGACGCGAGCGUAUCGAUAAAUGUCAAUCUCUCUCUCUCCCUCUCUCGUUUCCUCUCGAUUAAAAAGCGAAUAAGAGUUUAUUACUUAUCGCAAGGAAACAUCGGGCUCUCGACGCGCGAAAGUACGUCGAACCUUGCCCGGUAAUUUCGAGACGAAGGAAGAAGAAGAAGAAGUUGGUGGAAAAGCGGCGAUCGCGCUAAUAAGAGUGGGCGAGAUUAUUUAUUGGCCAUCGAUGGAAAGACUUACGCGCGGUCGAGCGAGCAAAGAUUACAGGCUAUCCGUGCUAACAGGAUGGAAGAAAAGGAUCCCUUGGCGAGAAAGGGACUCGAGAUGGAUAUAGAGAACGGGGCGAUUUGAAAAGCAACCGCUGGAAAGAAUUUGGUGGAGAAGGGUAAUGAUCGUGAUGCUGGUGAAUAUCUUGACAGGAUGGAGACUGGCCAGGGGCGACUGGAAAAUUGAUUUUUUGAAAAAUACAACCACGCCCGGGGUUGCUUCUGUGAAUCGGUGGCGGUGCUAACCAUCGGACGCGAUCGUUUCUACCUUCCUUCCUUCCUUCCUUCCUUCGAGAAAGCCCUUAAGCAUCGGCGAUAAAUCGAACGGAUUACAAAAAGGAAGCUCUGGACUUGCGGCCGAGGAAUGUCGGCCAUCGAUGCCGAGAGAAGAUGCCCUUUAUAACGUACAAACGCUCGCUUGCAAAUAUGUCGCCAUUGAAAAUUCCACGUUGCUUCGAAGGUGGUAUCCUUACAUCUCCCUAUCCAAAUAAGCAUUCAUGCUGAAAGGACUGAUCGCCGAAUGAAAUAUCAUACACAAAGUCCAAGCAAAAGAUAAUCUCCAAUUAAAUCCUCCUCGAUUUAUAAAUUAUCGAAUCGAUGGCAGCAACUCUACGCUCGCGUCGUCGCGGCUUAUCGAUGACUCUCGAUCCAAAUAUUACUUCUAACUUUGUAAGGAGCAAGUCCAAGCACGAGUUUUAUAACGUGCGUGUGCGAGCACUCUUAUCGCGCUUCAUCUACCAACUUACUAAUCGGACGAAUUAUACAACAACGCAUUAAUCAUAGUAAUGGCACGAGAAAGUCGUAACAGCGGUAAACGCGAAAAGACACAGCUAAGACGUGGAGCGUCGUUCGUGGAAGAAUAAAACGACUACCUAAAAAGGUAACGAAGGAAUGAAGUAGCCAAGGUGUCCGAGACGAAAAAGUUCCAGAUAAGAACUCUCUUUCUCUCUCUCUCUCUCUCUCUCUCGCGCGCGCGCGCGUUUCUUCUCCUUCUACGGUCGCCAUAAAAACAUAUAUUUUAACAUACACAAAGCCGUUUCCCUGCCAUUAUGUUUGUAUUCGCAGACCUGGAAGCCUUCCGUCCCCUCCUUUCAACCUUCAACACUCAUUUCUCCUUCACGCCGAAAAAAGAAAGAGAUAGAAAUAAAUUUGACAAGUCUCAUCGGUGAUCUCUAGGCCACAGUGUUUCCCAAAUGUCCGCCACACGCGGUGACAGAAGAAAUAUAACGCCCUCUAAUCCCGACAAAAACAAAGCGACUGCGAACGAUACCGGAUGCCUUUGCCAGACAAGAGUGGACUAAAAAAAACCUGAUGAUCUCGAUCGGCUCGAAAAGGCAAGAUCGUGAGAUAAACGUACCUUUACCGAAGAAUCAUCAAAUGCCUGGACAAAUUACCAUGGUUUCACCGUGUGAUCAUAGCGAAAUGCGUUUCCUUGCAUCUGGGUUGCGUCGUUUAGAAUGGGAUCAGAAAAUCUGAGCAUCGGUUUACGCGUGCCAAACAAGGAAGCAAUCGCUACUUUACAGAAACAAACCACACACCACUCUAGCGUUUAUAUGAAAAUCAGUAGUGGGGACAAGAACUUCUUCUCUUUUACCGCAAAGUCUAAGGGGCGCCACUAUACGAAACUUUUUUUUCAUAAAAAAUAUCAAAAACAUUUUUACGCUACGAGUCGAGGAAUAAUUCUUGAAAUAAAUUUUGAUGAACAAGAUCUCAUUUUAAAAAUGAAGGUUUAAGUAAGGACAUGACUUUCUCGAAUUUGUUAAAAAACUUUAUUUUCAUGCAUAAACUAUUGUCGAAAAAACUUCAUUUUUUGACACGAUUUUAUUCAAAGAAAAUAAAGCUUUUCCCAAAACUUGAGAAAGCCAUGUCCUCGUUUGAACUUUCAUCUUUAAAAUGAGACCUUGUUCAUCAAAAUCGUUCAAAAAUGAUACCUGUAACAGCUUUAAUCUGAUAUUUCUAUAAGUGGCUUUAUUUGAAAAUCCGAAUCUCAAUACCGAGCAUGUAAACAAAACCCGCGACCGACUUCGACAGUCAUCAGUCUUCUUUUCUAUUUCGACGAGUAAACAUCGCAAAUCUCUCCGUCUUAUUAUAUUUAUUAUUGUAAUAUAAUUAACUAUUAUUUAAAUAACUGCUUAAAUAUUACCAAAUUUAAGGUAAAUCUUUUAAUACAGAAUUUUUUUUUUAAUAAAUCUAGGAAUAGGAUGAAAUUAUUUUGAAAACCGAAUAAUUAUUGUUUAUUUGAUGUUUUAUGCAAUGAAUAACAAAUAACCUAUAUACUUUGUAAAAUUAUUUAAGAUUAUAUGUUGUUGUACAUAUAUACAAAUUACUAUACAAGUAAAUAGUAUUGUUAAUAAACGAUAUUUUCUAAUUUUCAAA